GCCUAUAUAUAACAUACCAGGUAUCAUGGAUCAGAUCAAGGGAGCAGCAUCUUAGUUCCAGACCAAAAAGAUGAAUGUUAUGGAGUGGCCAGCCCAAUCCCAGGACCUUAAUCCAACAGAAAAUUUAUGGGGUGACAU